rnacentral:rRNA from 1 species
ACGGGAGGCAGCAGUGGGGAAUCUUGCGCAAUGGGCGAAAGCCUGACGCAGCGACGCCGCGUGAGGGAAGAAGGCCUUCGGGUUGUAAACCUCUUUCAGGAGGGACGAAGCUACUCGGGUUAAUAGCCCAGAGGGUGACGGUACCUCCAGAAGAAGCCCCGGCUAACUACGUGCCAGCAGCCGCGGUAAUACGUAGGGGGCAAGCGUUGUCCGGAAUCAUUGGGCGUAAAGCGCGUGUAGGCGGCCAGAAAAGUCCGCUGUGAAAACUCGAGGCUCAACUUCGAGCUGUCGGUGGAAACUUUCUGGCUAGAGUCCGGAAGAGGAGAAUGGAAUUCCUGGUGUAGCGGUGAAAUGCGCAGAUAUCAGGAAGAACACCCGUGGCGAAGGCGGUUCUCUGGGACGGUACUGACGCUGAGACGCGAAAGCGUGGGGAGCGAACAGGAUUAGAUACCCUGGUA